rnacentral:rRNA from 1 species
CGCUGCGGCGUGCCUACACAUGCAAGUCGAGCGAUCUCUUCGGAGAGAGCGGCGGACGGGUGAGUAACGCGUGGGUAACCUGCCCUGUACACACGGAUAACAUACCGAAAGGUAUACUAAUACGGGAUAACAUACGAAAGUCGCAUGGCUUUUGUAUCAAAGCUCCGGCGGUACAGGAUGGACCCGCGUCUGAUUAGCUAGUUGGUAAGGUAAUGGCUUACCAAGGCAACGAUCAGUAGCCGACCUGAGAGGGUGAUCGGCCACACUGGAACUGAGACACGGUCCAGACUCCUACGGGAGGCAGCAGUGGGGAAUAUUGCACAAUGGGCGAAAGCCUGAUGCAGCAACGCCGCGUGAGCGAUGAAGGCCUUCGGGUCGUAAAGCUCUGUCCUCAAGGAAGAUAAUGACGGUACUUGAGGAGGAAGCCCCGGCUAACUACGUGCCAGCAGCCGCGGUAAUACGUAGGGGGCUAGCGUUAUCCGGAAUUACUGGGCGUAAAGGGUGCGUAGGUGGUUUUUUAAGUCAGAAGUGAAAGGCUACGGCUCAACCGUAGUAAGCUUUUGAAACUAGAGAACUUGAGUGCAGGAGAGGAGAGUAGAAUUCCUAGUGUAGCGGUGAAAUGCGUAGAUAUUAGGAGGAAUACCAGUAGCGAAGGCGGCUCUCUGGACUGUAACUGACACUGAGGCACGAAAGCGUGGGGAGCAAACAGGAUUAGAUACCCUGGUAGUCCACGCCGUAAACGAUGAGUACUAAGUGGUCCGGGGGUUACCCCCCUCGGUGCCGCCAGCUAACGCAUUAAUUACUCCGCC